GUAGUAAAUAACAUUAUAAUUAUUACCAGAAUUUUAAUGCAAAGGAAGAAUUGAAAUGAAAAAAAAUUAAUUGGUCCAGUUUUACAACAUUGUUAAUCGUUCUCCAUUAAUUGUUGUUGUGGUCUCUUGGUUGUGACCAUCACACCUCAUGAAUUGUGUGAAUAAAAUAUUGACCGUCUGAUCAAAAUAAAAAAUAAACAUCCAAAUCGCCAAUGAGCAAAUUUGACAUAAUUCUGUAUGUUAAUAAAAUGAAAAAAGAGAUUUUUUCCAUCCGGUAAUAACUGAUAAGACGGUGGCUUUUGGAGCAACGUUGAAUUUAUCAGUUUUUUGCAAAAGAUAUACAAUUGUAGAAAAGCAAAUAAUCGUCACAAUUACUAAAAGAAAAAAAUUACGAAAAAGUAAUAAGUCUAUUAACAAUAAUUAAUAGUGGUGGUGUGUUAUUUUGUGCCGGUGCCGGUUUUAUGUGGUCGGACAAUCGAGGAACUCGGUGUGCCGCUAGCAGCAGCGUAGCAGCAGCACCAGCACCAGCACCAGCAUCAGCACUAGCAUCAGCGAUAGCGACAGGAAAUAGUGAAGAGGAAUUAUUAUUAUUAACAGUAACGAGGAGAACGACGACGACAGGAGGAGAAGAAGAUCAUCCUAAUCAGCAGCAACAGCAGCAGCAUCAUCACCGACAGCAGCGUUAUUAUUUUGCAUUCUCAAUUCCCGCUGCUUUAAACUUGUCAAAUUCAGCUGCUGAUCAGUCUAGCAGCGUAACGUAAAACGUGGGACGGACGUCAUAUCAGAAUUUUCUGCAUCUGUAUACGUGUACAUACAUGUGUACGGAAGAAUCGAGAACGACUUCGAAAAUACGAAGCUAACGAUAUUAAAGGGACUACGAUUCGUUAAAGGGAUUCUACGCGAAUAAAGAUCCAUCAGUUGCGGAAAUCGAGAUCUACGAGAGGAUUCAAAUUAUACGUUUUAUAGUGUGUGAAAACGAUAACGAAAAAGAGAA
rnacentral:lncRNA from 1 species